ACGCUGGCGGCGCGUCUKAAACAUGCAAGUCGAACGGUCUCUUUUUUAGAAGCUUGCUUUUUGGAAGAGAUAGUGGCGAACGGGUGAGUAACACGUGGAUAAUCUGUCUGUGGGUUGGGGAUAACUGUCCGAAAGGAUAGCUAAUACCGAAUGAGAUGGUAGUUACACAAGUAGCAGCCAUUAAAGGUGGGGAUCGCAAGACCUACCGCCUGGAGGUGAGUCCGCGGCUGAUUAGCUUGUUGGUGGGGUAAUGGCCUACCAAGGCGACGAUCAGUAGCCGGCCUGAGAGGGUGAACGGCCACAUUGGGACUGAGAUACGGCCCAGACUCCUACGGGAGGCAGCAGUUAAGAAUCUUGCACAAUGGGCGCAAGCCUGAUGCAGCGACGCCGCGUGAAUGAUGAAGGCCUUCGGGUUGUAAAGUUCAGUAAGCAGGGAAGAAUAAGUAAGGGGUAAUAUUCCUUAUGAUGACGGUACCUGCCUAAAGCCCCGGCUAACUACGUGCCAGCAGCCGCGGUAAUACGUAUGGGGCGAGCGUUGUUCGGAAUUAUUGGGCAUAAAGGGCGUCUAGGCGGGGGACUAAGUUAGAUGUGAAAGCUAUGGGCUCAACCCAUAAAUUGCAUCUAAAACUGGUUUUCUUGAGUUCGGGAGAGGAGAGCGGAAUUCCAGGUGUAGCGGUGAAAUGCGUAGAUAUCUGGAAGAACACCGGUGGCGAAGGCGGCUCUCUGGCCUAGAACUGACGCUGAAGCGCGAAAGCGUGGGUAGCAAACAGGAUUAGAUACCCUGGUAGUCCACGCUGUAAACGUUGUAUACUAGGUGUUAGCGGCUAGUCUGCUAGUGCCGAAGCAAACGCAUUCAGUAUACCGCCUG
rnacentral:rRNA from 1 species